rnacentral:lncRNA from 1 species
GCUCCUUGAGGAGACGGAUGCUCUGCUACCAAGGGAGUUUAGGCCUCUCCAGAGCCACUCUCGAGAGUCUAGGAGAUCGGAUCGGAGGUAGACCACCUAAAGAAGAGGUUGGAAGAGAGAAAAGUAAAUUAUAAGCUUCUCUGGGGCAAAUUUAUAGAUCAAGGGAUUUUACUCAAAUGCACUGAAAGUAGGAGAAAGCAGC